rnacentral:rRNA from 1 species
GAAGCAUUCUUCGGAAUGUGGAAGAGUGGCGAACGGGUGAGGAACACGUAAGAAUCUGCCCCUCGGUCGGGGACAACUCUUGGAAACGGGAGCUAAUACCCAAUAUGCUGUGGAGUGAAAGAAUUUCGCCGAAAGACGAUCUUGCGUCUGAUUAGCUUGUUGGUGGGGUAAUGGCCCACCAAGGCUACGAUCUAUAGCUGGUCUGAGAGGAUGAUCAGCCACACUGGGACUGAGACACGGCCCAGACUCC